UACGUAGGGUGCAAGCGUUGUCCGGAAUUAUUGGGCGUAAAGAGCUCGUAGGCGGUUUGUCGCGUCUGCUGUGAAAAUCCAGGGCUCAACCCUGGACCUGCAGUGGGUACGGGCAGACUAGAGUGCGGUAGGGGAGACCGGAAUUCCUGGUGUAGCGGUGAAAUGCGCAGAUAUCAGGAGGAACACCGGUGGCGAAGGCGGAACUCUGGGCCGAAACUGACGCUGAGGAGCGAAAGCAUGGGGAGCGAACAGG
rnacentral:rRNA from 1 species